CUCUGACCCCCCUGUUGAGGUGGUGGUAACAGGUCACAGCCCUCUGACCCCCCUGUUGAGGUGGUGGUAACAGGUCACAGCCCUCUGACCCCCCUGUUGAGGUGGUGGUAACAGGUCACAGCCCUCUGACCCCCCUGUUGAGGUGGUGGUAACAGGUCACAGCCCUCUGACCCCCCUGUUGAGGUGGUGGUAACAGGUCACAGCCCUCUGACCCCCCUGUUGAGGUGGUGGUAACAGGUCACAGCCCUCUGACCCCCCUGUUGAGGUGGUGGUAACAGG